rnacentral:tRNA from 1 species
UGGAGCAGUUUUAGAAAUAUAAAAUUGUCAAUUUUAAGUAGUCUCUGUACCAA